rnacentral:rRNA from 1 species
CACGUAGGGCGCAAGCGUUGUCCGGAAUUAUUGGGCGUAAAGAGCUCGUAGGCGGUCUGUUACGUCUGCUGUGAAAACCCAGGGCUUAACCCUGGGCUUGCAGUGGAUACGGGCAGACUAGAGGCAGGUAGGGGAGAAUGGAAUUCCCGGUGUAGCGGUGAAAUGCGCAGAUAUCGGGAGGAACACCGGUGGCGAAGGCGGUUCUCUGGGCCUGACCUGGACGCUGAGGAGCGAAAGCAUGGGUAGCGAACAGG